UUAAAAUGAUUGUGUGCAAAUUUGUAACCGAACUCAAUGGGUCUGUCUCUUGGUGAGUGUGGAGCCAAAAAGCACAACCAAAGAUGAAUUGGGUGAAGAA